rnacentral:precursor_RNA from 10 species
CUGAGUUGACUGCUAUAAGCCACUAUAGACUGCUUCAUCUACUAGGUUAGCUGGAACAGCUAGCUCUAGCUGAUGUAGCAAACUAAAGGGGUCCGGGUCGUCUAUGCGUUUC